UGGGUAAUUGUGCAGGGAGUUGUGACCAGGUGCAAUUUGUUCAGCCCUCAGCUGUGCUGUGUUUGCAGCCCCAGGACGCCUGUGCCGGUUCUUUCUUCCUGCCCUCCUCACAGAGCAGUCUUGAGGUGAGGACAGGAGAAUGUGGAGUUCCUGGAGUCUUCUUGUUCAGGCUUAGGUGAACCAGACAUGAAUGUCCCCAAACCAGCACCAAACUGCAGCUCUGGUCAUUGAAGAUUGCCGAGGGGAAGUCUCCACAGACUGCUGCAUGCUCCCAUUUAGGAAGGCCCGGAGCCCACCCUAUCCAACCUUGAGAAUCCCAGGAAAAGCUCACCAUAAAACAUGGAAAUGUUUCCAUGGGAACUGUUCCUCUACUUCUGCUAAUAAAAUGGACCUAUAACACCAGUGACAACAGGUCCCAGUUUCUGCACCAAACUACAAACAGUGAAUGCUACAAAGGGAGCUGGUGAAGAGCAGAAGUGAAAAUCAAGAGAGCUGCUAAAUUAGCUGGUGACUGAAGCUCAUGUGCUUGCAGAGGACCAGCUUGCUGUCAUCUCGUUGCCAUUCUGGUUCGCCGCUUGCAAUUAAAGCUGAAUGUUUCUACGUGCCUUCCCCAAAAGACAAGAACCUGCUUGCGAUGAGCUUCCCGGUGACAGGGAUCCAGCUUCCCGCUGUGCUCACUUCGACUGACCUUUGGAGCACGGAAGGUUGUGAUGCGCCAGCCUGCAGGGACCGGCACGAUGUCUCUUAAUUGUGCUCUGUAAUCAGCGGCUCGUUUGCAGCCCUCCGCAGUGACACGGCUUUGUCCUCCAGCUGAGGGCACCGCGGGAGGCCACUCUGCAGGCAAAAGCAAGAAGGUAGAGCAAGUAUUCCCGGCAGCUCUGCUUCGAUGCUGGGCGGCUCCUUGGAGCUGUGAGAGGGACCUCAGCGUGUUUUAUGUGUAUUGAUUGGUAAAGGAGGCAUAAAAUGCUGCCUAAACCCUCUUUCUCCUGGGAAGCUUCCAUUACCCAAGGCAAAAUGGGACCCAAAGGGCUGGGGUCCUAAAAAACAUUAAUUCCCUUAUAAAGAUGUGUGUGUGACCUUGGAUUAAUCCAAAGUCAGCAGAAAUAGGCCCCACUCAGUGUUUCGUGAGAGUUUGCAGGCUCAUAGGAAGGAAGCUGUGAUACACACCGCAAUAAACUCUGCAGGGAUUAAGCUGCGUGAAGCAGGGGAAACUUUCAUUGCAUCAUCGGGGUGAAGGAGCUGCAAAGUUGUUCCACUUUUCCAAAAAAAAAAAAAAAGGAAGAGUGAAGGACCUGUACUUUGGCUUUGCUUAGGAUUAGUAAAAGUCUGUGUAUAAGGUCUGUAUAGAAAUGGGGGCACCGUAUAGAAACGUUGCACAAAUACCUUUCACCCAAGCAGCAGUAAAAAUGGGCUGUUGAAGAAAUGGCAACCACUGGGGAUGGUCCAGGAGAGAUGUGACUUUGCUUCUUGGAGGUGUCCACGGUUCAGGUGCUGCUCCACCUAGAGAGCUGAAAACAUAAGGGCAGAAAUGGCAAAAUAACUCCAACACUGAACCGAAGUGCCACGUGCUCAGAGCCUGGUUGAACAAGACACUGUGACUAUGAAAUCACAUUUUGGAAAGGCUGAAGUAGAUAAGCUUAGCCCUGAAGCUGCUUCAGCCUUGUGCAGGAGGUGAGCCUACGGUGUAGGAUGUCUCUCUGAGUCCUUCCUGGAAUAUUUACCCUCCUCAUCCUUUUUGGAGCAUUAGCCUUUCUCAUGUGAAACAAUCGUUCUCUGCUCUCAUGGAUUCUCCUGAAAUAGAAUCUGCGUAAAUGGAACUGCUGCAACCCUCUUUGGAUUGAAACACACAGUGUUGUAGGGUGGAAAGAAAUAGCUGUGUUUUUCUUCAAGGCAAAAUUUCUUAUUUUCUUGACAUCUUUUGAAAAAAAAGGCAGCGUACGUGGAGUGAAAAUCUUUGAUGGGGAAAAGAAAUAGUGAAAUAAAAAUGAAUUAUAGCUCAGUUGUUUCACUUUCUAAAGGUGAGGUCUUAAAUUUCUAAAGUGGCUAUCCAGAUGCUAAAAGGCAUAACUUUCACAAUUUAUUACAGCACAUUUUCUCCUUUAUGUCCUAUAAAACACUGUAGAUGUUCUUGACCGUACACCUCUGUCAUAGCAUGUGAUACACACCCGAAAUGUAUUCCUUCCCUCCAGCCAGGGGACCACAUGGCUGUGCUUGCUUUAGCCUGUUUUACUGGUCCCUUUGCUGAGCAGAGGUAGGAAUGAGCUUUCAAAGCCUGAAGGGUAGUGAUGUCAAACCAGCAAAAUGGUAAAAAGAUCAUGUAAUCCAUCCUGCAUGGACUGGGUCCAAAGCGCUCCUGCCCUCCUGUGGGUUGUGCUUGACCAGGAAAGCAGAUCUAUGCUGCAAAUGAAGGGUUUUUUGUACUUUUUAUCCUUUACUGUUGGGGAAACUGCAUCUUGGUGUUGUAGAGAGUGAGCCUUAGAAACACAAGGAGAACAAAUGCAAAUGAAGAAGGAUCAUGAGUGGUUCUUUGCCUGGGAGGGAAGAGGAGGGUGAGCUGAGAAACCAGAGUGAGGAGUUACUGUUCCUCUGACACCCAGGCCUUUUGUGCUGCAGAGCAGAUGGGAGCUGCAUGAGGUACAGAGUCGGGAUGGUUGCAGCCCAGGCAGGGUUUGGCAGCUGCCAGUGAGUUUGUUGUACACAUGGUGAAAAUUGGGCCAAAUUAUGAGAAGGGGGUGAUUCUGUGCAUGUUGUGGUCAAAGCAGGUGUAUCUUGUUUUGCUUUUGGUAGUAACCAGCAUUUUUAAUAAUAUGUUGUGCAUGUAUGGCCUUACAUUUCAGAGGAAUCAAAUAAACCUGACUGAAUUGCCUUCAAAGUUCUGCAAGAAAGUCAGUGGUUGGGCAGAGCUCAGCACAGGCUGCCCUGGGACAUCAGUGAUAGCACAGGGAUCUCAAAAAUAAGCUUUUACAUGUGAUAAAUCAGAGAUUUCUUACCUACCAUAAGGGAAAGCAGUGUGCUAUAGAAAAUAUCAAUGUUCAAUUUACAUUUAAGCAUAUUCAUAUUAUAUGUAUAUUUAAUAUUUGUAUUUAUUAACCAGACAUUCUGGCUUAUGCUAAAUACUUUAAACAUACAGUGAACAUAUCACAAAGCCAAUAUAAUAAAUAUAUAACACUUUUUUCUUACAAUAAAAUAUUGGCUAUGUUUAGUUUACUACACUUUAUCUUAUUAACAUGAGUUUUAAUUAAGCCUAGUAAAAAUGUUGUUUCCUGUAAUAGUUUGGUAGAGAAGUAGGACAGGUUCCAGUAGGAAAUGCAUUUAAUCUCUUUAGGGAAAAGGGGGCAAAAAGGUGUUUUAUGCGUUCUAGUGGUGAACACUAAGGACAACAUCUUCUGGGAAGAUCUGAUGUUGGGUUGGAAAUCGAACAAUCACAUUGUUCCUAAAUAAAUUGAUCCUGCAUAUAUGGCCUUAACUGGACACGUGGCUGAUUUAUAAAGGGUUACUUCCCUACUUCAAAUUGAAUGUAUAGACAUUUUAAUUAGUAUGGGAUAUUUCUAGAUCUGGGAUAAGGUAACAGGAAAAAAAGGAGGUUUCCCAAAUUGUCAGUAUUUUUACCCAUGUAAACUUUUUUACUCAUGAAUAACUCUGCCAAGACAUUAUGGUAGAUGGCCCACAUCUAAAGACCUUUCAGUGUAAUGGGAAUUUUUCCAUUGCUUUCUCUGGCAUUUGAGUCAGAGUCCCCUUCCCUGGUAUUUGGCUGAUAAGACUCACUAAAGCUGCACAAAAUCUUUUUAUUUCCAUUGCUGCUUAAGCAAACCAAUCUGACAUGGAUUAUAACCUGGUUCUAGAGGUGUAGUUGGGUUAAACUGUAUUUUUUUGGUGUGUUCACAGGCUGCUCCCUUCUAGCCUGCAGAUUUCUGUCACAGGAUUUAUUUAUUGCUGUUGUCUAGAAAUCAGGAAUUGGGUGGAUACGACUGUCCUUUCCCUGUCAGACUGCUCUGGGUAGUUCAGGGUAGCAGUGGAUUUAGGCACCCUCUCAACUACCUCCAGCUCUACUUAACUAAAACCCCUGGUCUUAAAUGGGAGGUUUUUGUAGUGUGAAUUAGUAUAGGAGCACAUUUGGAAGGCUCUGAAGGAAGCCUUGGGUGUGUUAGUUUUUGUUAUUCCUGCAAUCUUUUCAGAGAUGUAGCACCCAGUCAAGUGAUGGGGGAUCACUUCUGAAAAACUCUGUUCUCACAUCUUCUGUACAAAUCCUUUUUCUGUAUCAGGUCAGAGCACAAAUGCUAUGAAAAAUGUGAUUUAUUGGUAAAAUAGUGAUUUUUCUGAGAAAAGUUUUUAAAAAAAAAAAAAGAAAAAACACCUUUCCCAUCUGUCACGCAAUAAGAACAAACCCUUUCUUGAGGUAUUGUUCUUUUUUCCAUGCUUGGAGACAAUAGAGAGCCUGAUGCCUUCUCCUCAGAAAAGUAAUAGGUUAUUUUCUUUUAGACUGGGACUGGUAUUUGAAAUGCACUUGGGGUGCUUGCCUUCACUUAUCUUCUGUUCCUUAUCUCUUGAGCCUGCCAGUAGGUGACUAGAAGGGUUUUUUAUUUUUAAUGUUGUGAACAGAUUUUUUCAUUGCUUUCCAUGUUAUAUGAUGUCUUUAUCAUUUAUAUUUAGGGGAGUAACAGGGCUUUCUAAGAGCACAAGGCUGUGUUGCUUGGGAAUCUCAGCUCUGCACACCUUUGAUUUGUAGGUAGAGGGUUUUAAGUCUGUUUUAGGGUGUUUCAUUUGCAAUAAGUGCAGAAUGGCUGUCACCAUGAAACCCAAGCCUUGUGCUAGGGCUUCUGGAAACACGAACCAAAAAUAAAUACAUUUCACUACUUAUGGGUAGGGCUCUGUUCCUGGUUUAUGUGCUGUGCUCUGAUCAAACAGCUGAAGGCAGUCUGUGCAGAUGUACUGACACCCUGCCUAAAUUGGCCUGUCCUCACUUUUUCUGGGGUCCAAGAUUUUUUGGGGUGUAAAUAUUGUGCUUGUUUGUGAUCUGUAAUUGCUUUUGGUCAGUUACAUUGAUGGAGGGAUGGAUGUUGUCUCCUUGGGGAAGGAUCCAUGAGCCUCCCUGACUCAGCUGCAUUAAUUUGUAAAAAGUUCUCCCUCCCUGAGCAAAAGGAGAGUUUCAGACCUGACUCUUCCAGUGCCACAGUAAAGAGUGUCCAGAUGGAUGUGAGGAAUGGGAUAAAACCUGGCUCGCAGCCUGGGUGAGCAGCAGUGAGGAUAUAGCCAAAACGUCUCUCUCUGGCUCUUCUGACACUCUCCUGGGCCUUCCUGCUCUUUCCCCUUGCAAAAAUCCACAUUGUCCUUUCUCGCCUUUCCUUUCCAACUCUUUAUUGCUUUAGUAAUACCAAAAGGAUCUCCUGCUCAAGCUGCCAGACAGGCAGCUUGUAAUAACAGAGGCACAGAACCAGCACAAGAGAUUUCCUGGUUUGACUAGGAUUUGUGUGCAGGAAAUCUCCUCCUGAGCCCGUGGGUGUGCAGAGGAACUUUGCAGCCCUGCAGCCCAGCAAAGGCAUGGAGCUAAAAGCCCCAACCACCCCAGAGAUGCGCUGAUGCUUUUACCCUUCUCCCCCCACCAGAGAAGGGCAAAAGCAUCAGUCAGUGUCUCCCAUACCUGUUCCACUGAAGGCAGCAGCUUUUGGGUGAGCACUCAGCCCCUUCACUCUCCGUGAGCCCUGGCUGCCAUCCAGGGCAGCAGCCAGUGUGGGACCAGUGUUCCCUGACUUGCACCCUCUGGAAGUUCGCUUGUUCUCUGCCCUCAUAUGAUGAGCUGGGUGUGGAGCAGAGGUUCUGCGGAUAUUGCAGUGCAAAGGGAAGCGAUUCUGGGAGGGGCUGAGGUGUGUCUUCCAUGGCAUUUCCAAACCAGAGUGCUCCGGAGCUGUUCCCGGGCUUAUUAGCACUGAGCCCUCUUAAUUCCAAGAGGCUGCUCAAUGGCCACUCGGGAGAUAAGGGGAGAUUAAACAGAAGAGUGUAAGUGCUUGAGGAUGAAUCCUUAAUACCUGUGAUGAAAAGGGGGCUGGAUUAAGUGAGAGCUGCACCUCUGUGAGCUUCAUUUCAGAGCAGGGAUGGCUGAUCUCAUUCUCAGCUUCCCCCAGCUGCCACUGGAAAUCAGCUGGUCCAGGCUGGAAAGAAGUUCAAGCCAUUCUGACAUUAAGCUAAAAUCUUUUCUGGAGGUUUACACUUUAAAAAUAUAGCUGUGUAAGGGACUGAGUGGAAUACUGAUUGAGACUCUUAGCAUUUGGUGGCAAAAGGAUUGUUUGAAGGGGUGGCAUGAGUUUUGUAAACACACAAGGGAUGAAAACUAUGAAUCAGAGGAAUGCUCUGUUAAAGAAUUGCCUUUGUUAAAAGAAGAUACUCCUUCCUCUAGAAAGCCUCUUACAGAGAGCUAAAGAGAAGUGGUAAAGUGUGAGCAAUAGUUCUGAUUCUUUUAUUGCACUUUGAAAAAAAGGACAGGACUUGCUGAAAUGCACAGGCUCCUACAGUUGGCAGGAAAGGCAACCCUGGACAGGAGGAUUCUCUCUUUCUUUGGGCUGGACUUUUCUUGGCUCCAGGCUUGUCCAUAGGGAUUCCACCUUCAGAAGGCAUGCUGUGGGCAUGGCUGCAUGCUAGUGGCUACUGAAGUGGUGGGAGGGUUUGUAAGAAAACCAGGAAGACAGUUGGGGUUUUGUCCUCUGGAAAGUCCCCCUAGGAACAAGAAAAUAAGCGUACAGGCAGCUCUUGACUCGUGCUGCAGCUGCCCCAGGGUGUAUAAGCUGAUGCUGGGUGCCCUGGCUGCCCCAGAAGGCAGCAGAUGAUCCCGCGUGUGAGGGCAGGGCACAGAAAUGGCUCUUUCAAGAGUUCCCAUAAAUAAAACUGAACACUGAACAAACAGGUAGCCUCUUCUCUUCCUCCUUUCCAAGGAUACUUGCUGUUUACUAAAUGGGAGAUGACCUUGGCCUUGCCUCUUUUGCACUGCCGCAGCUGAUGAACACACGAGAUUUGACCAAAGGAUUUACUGGCAGAUCUGCCCCUCGAGGGACUCUGGUGCAGCUUUGCCCAUGUCAUGUCUGCCUUACUUGAGCCUGUCUCUUCAAGUUUACCUGGGAGAGAUUUAAAAGAAUGUUUUGGUGUGGCCCUUUCCAGCAAAGUGAUUUUGUGUUGCUCCUGGGAAGCAAAUUGCCUUGAUGAACCUUUUGGAAUGAAAGAGGAGCUGAAGUUCACAACUUUUAAGGGAUUAAUGCUGAUGUAUUCAUUUCUUGUGUCUUUGUUGGAGCUCAACCAUUUUAGGACAAGUAAAAAAAAAAAUAAUUUCACCUUUGUCCGGAUUUUGUCAUUGUCUGAGAGCUCUGAGGUUAUAGAACCCCCUUGAACUGUGCCUGCAGCCAUCACUUUGGGGCCUGUUUCAGUACACACUUGUGCCUGAGUGGGUGCCAGUGCUCUUUCCCUGGCAUUGCCUUCCCUGCAGUCCUCACUGAGGUGCCAUGGAUGGCAACGCUGAACAGAAUGUUGGCUUUGUUUGCUCUGAUUUCCUUGUACUGUGGUGCUUUAGGCCUGGCAGCACCUGGCGCGUUGUCAGCCAUUGGAAGCCAGGAGAUUCCAAAGGGAAGGGACCAGGCACAUCCCACCUGAGGGACAUUCAGUCAAUUGCACCACACUGCACAGGCUUCCCACAGGUUUCCAGACUAUUGAAUGCAUUAAGACGACAUCAGUGCUCUAAACCCACAAGACCCAGGGAUUUUGGACUUUGGGAUGAAGCUUGGGUUUCUAAAAUCCCUGUCUGUGCCUGAGUAGCCCUGUCUGUCCUUCUUCAUGUGGAGUUCCUGGGGAAGUUUUUUGGAAGUUGGAGCAGUUGGCACAGCCCAGUGCUGGGGAUGGACUCUGUGCUGCAGCAAGUGAUGUCUUUGCUGUCUCUCACUGUUUGCUAUCGUGACUGCUGCUGCUGUCAGAGAGAAAUGCAGUGCAGUGAGCUGAAGACACUGAUCUGGUUAUGGUGACAGACUAUGAAAAUAAACCUUUCUCUAAGAGCAGA